CCAAAACCGGCGGCCAAACCCAAAAAAGCGGCAGCACCCAAAAAGGCAGUCAAAGGAAAGAAGGCUGCUGAGAACGGUGAUGCCAAGGCUGAGG